GGCGCGUUCGGCUUCUGGUGAGGCCAUCCGUCUUUCACACGGAUCAGGUCGGGUUCGAAUCCCACACGCGUCAC
rnacentral:tRNA from 1 species